ACUUAGGUAGUUUAAUUUAUAAAAUUUUGAUUUGUGGUGUCAAAGAUAUAAUAUUUAUUCUAGGUU
rnacentral:tRNA from 1 species